rnacentral:rRNA from 1 species
UACGUAGGGGGCAAGCGUUGUCCGGAAUCAUUGGGCGUAAAGAGCGUGUAGGCGGUCCGUUAAGUCGGCUGUGAAAGUCCAGGGCUCAACCCUGGGAUGCCGGCCGAUACUGGCGGACUAGAGUCCGGAAGAGGUGAGUGGAAUUCCCGGUGUAGCGGUGAAAUGCGCAGAUAUCAGGAAGAACACCUAUGGCGAAGGCAGCACUCUGGGACGGUACUGACGCUGAGACGCGAAAGCGUGGGGAGCGAACAGG